CGCGGCAUGUGGGAUCUUCCCGGACCGGGGCACGAACCCGUGUCCUCUGCAUCGGCAGGCAGACCCUCAACCACUGCACCACCAGGGAAGCCCGAGCUUUAUUCUUUUGAUCAUGAAGCUAUGGCUUUUUAUAUUCAAUACUUUUAAUUUUAAUCUCCGGGCUUGAAUUGUAUUUUCCGUUGGAGGGUAAAUCCUGACAGUAGGUUGUGAGACUGCUCACAGCAUUUACAUGACUCAUUUUCGAUGCAGCUCCGCUGACAAGCUCUUUCACUUUAAGCAUAAAAUUAAAGAGAACUCACAUCUCGUCUGUCCUGCCGCGCUUCUGGUGGCGUCAGCAUCUCUGUGGUCCACUCUCUUUCACAGGAUUUGUAAUGUCAGCAAAAGGAUUAUUUCAGGCUGACACUUGGCACAGAUGGUUCUCCGCCAAAUGUGAUUUCGAAGGGGAGGAUUUGAUCCCAAUUAUUCCAUUCAGCUUUGUUGAAGGAGAGUAAGAAAAAAGAAUGUACUCAGCUUCCGGUUCUGUAGUAUUUUUAUUUUAGAUGUAACUGCAGUGACCCUGGCUGGCGGUGAGCUUUCAGCAUGGACCGACAUUUUGGCGGCUUCGGAAAAAGAAAGCUCGUUCGCACAGUCCAGGGCUCUGGGAACGGCCGCCCCGCUUUCCUGCCGUGGCUGUGCUGUGCUGUGGACCCAACACAGAUCCCUCUGUCCCCCGCUGGACAGCGGCCAGGCGGCUAAGGUCUGUGGAGCAGGACCACUCGGUGCGCGAGGCCAGCUCAGCCCUGGAAACCGCAGGGCAACAAAAAGCCUCUGUUCCCUCACGACAGGCUCUGCACAGAGAGGGUCCCGGCCGCGGCUCAGCCACGGGGACGGACUUGCAGAGGGACCUGGCGGGAAAGCCCGCGGAGGGGGACAGAGGGUGCCCGAUUCUGGUUCAGUGGGUGGACCGGAGGAAGGGGACUCUGUCCCACGAAUUUCUGCAGCACCUCCGAGUUCACGGGACCCUCACGACCGCCUUUCCUUUCCUUCCUGAGGCGCUCGGUCCCGUGUUUAGUUUUCGGGGAGGGGGCGUUGGCUCACGUCAGCCCCACAAACUCAGGAUCAGGAACGUGGUUUGGGGGAGACCUCCAUUCCUGCAGAUUUUGUGGAAUUGUUGUAUUCAGUUCUCAAUCCCUUUUUUUUUUUUUUGGCUUUGAAACCUUAGCUGUCUGGACGUUGCCUGGAAGGAAGGGAGGGGGAGGAGUCCCUGACCCCAAGGGAAAGCACGUCUAGGGAUGCCUGGACCUCAGCCAACGCAGCCAAAGGGGCCGCUCUGGCCACCUGCCUCUCGCCCCACCCAGAAGGGAGGGGCCUGCCCACACCCCACCCUGGACAGGUGAGACCGGCAGCAGGUGAUUAGUCACGGGCACAUGAGCGAUGGGCCCGUCUGGGGGGCUGCAGAGGAAGCUUUGCAGUUCCCAGGGGGACGAGGCGGGCUUGUAUGGAUAACCCUACAGCCUGGCAGGGGCCUGAGGCGGAUGCAUCCGGCUGGGAGUUGGGGGGUCUGCAGCUGGUUCUCCGCCGGGGGUCGUGCUCUUUCAGGCCCUGGAACCUUAGAACGUGGUGGGGCGGGGUGCUUGCCCACCACCGUGUGAUCUUUCUAGGCUGUCUUGCCGUCCAGUCGACACAGCAGUUCCCAGGACGGGGCGGGGCUGCAUCUCAGGGGCGGAACCUUCCGGGCCCCAUUUUCAGAAAUCAGCGGAGCAGAAAGAGAAGAGGGCGCGUUUCCUGCUGCUCCUCUGGGCACAGUCCUCGGACCGACGCCGGCCCAGGCCCUGUGGGGCGGGACUUGCAGCUGGCGGUCAGCCAGGGCGUGGGGGCGGGGCUGAGGGCUUGUCCCUCCAGGCAGACCCGCUGCAGCCCGGGUGGGCUCCCCUCAAGGGGUGUUCCACCCACCUAACCCCGUUCCUCCCUUCUCUCCAACCGAAGCUUCAGGGAAGUUCCUUUUACACCGUCCUGCCCCUCUGAGGCCUAGGCAGGCACAGGACGGCUCUGAGUGGUUUCCAAGUGUUUUCACCUGAGCACACCCGUCCUCCAGUGUGUCCUGGAGGCUAAAUACCUUCAUCCGAGGCUCACCCCGAAGGCGACACCCUGGGUCCUGGUGAGAACCCCCCGCGGAGCUCAGGCCCCCCACGGCCGCUGAUUAACCCAACGGCUGCUCCUUUCUGACUAUGCUGCACGGCGCCCACAGUACAUUUUCUGCAGGACGGUCCAGUGUGUGAGGCUUUCAGUUAUAGAACAGGGUAAUCUGGAAGCUGUCUUUUCUGUCAAAACAAGGAUUACACAACCUCGCAGUGAUGAUUCCUUAGUUUCAGAGUUUCUUUUUUUUAACUCAGUGCUGCUUUUCUGUGUCUAACCACAUCUGGACUGCCAGGCCCUCACCACUGCAUAUGGAAAGCAUGCCUUCUGAAAAGUUUCUGACGGUUUUGAUUACACACUGAGGGACAAGAGGGAGGGGUGGCCUCCCGGGACCCAGCAGCAUCACUCCUUAGCUCACCAGGGGACCGGCUGGAGUGGACGGGCCCGUCUGCAGCGGGCUGGGUGGGAGGGCCAGGGGUAUGUCCCGACGCGGUGGGAGCGCUGCUGGGAGGGUCACUGCGGGGCCGCAGUCGGGCAGGCCCCCAUCCCGGCCCCGACUUCGGCAGAACCAGGUCCAUCUCUGAGUCCAGCCGCUCAGGGUGUUCCGUUACUGAGCCGCGGAAUCUCAGGUUCCUCCCCGAAAACGGCUCUCAGGGGUUUCCCUGCGUAAGGGUGUGUCAGGAGGGCCCUCCCUCUGCCAACAGUGGCCGCUUUGGGUUCCCACCAAAUUUCACCUGCUCCCAGGGUGAAUUUCCGGCCCUUCUUGUCAUUCUUGAAGAUGCCGUUUGUGACUCUGCUUGUGGAGAGCACAGGCGGGCCUGGGUUUCCGGGUGUUAGGAGGGCACUGUGCGGAGGCUCUGUGUGUGCCGGGAUGGCCAGCGCCACAGCGGACGGGGCAGCGACUCCGCCUGUGGUUCGUGAUGCUGUGCAAACGGGCCACCUUGCCUGACUUUUCCUCCAUGGAAUGAAGUCGCCUGAGGGUCGCGUCCCUGCAAGGACACGGUCGGGUCCGGAUGAUUGAGGACCGUGUGGAAGUCACGUGCAGGGGUGGGGCCUGGGCUGCAGGGUACCCCGAGCCGAGGGAAGGGGGUCAUUUUACGUCCAAACCCUGACGCGGGUGUGGCAUCGCACCCUUCUCACAGGCCCAGGACGUCUUCAACAGACGAAGCUCUGGCUUUCAACCUGCCCCCCUCAUCCCCGUCCCUGCAGCUCAGGGCUGGCCCCUGGGACAUGGGAGCAUGCGCCCAACGCAGCCAAGCUCGGGCUCUGACCGGGGCGGGGUGGGGGGUCACACGCAGGUGUGACCUGCUCAGGGAAGGCUGCCUGGAGGAAGAGGCCGCCGUGGGAGGCUGGGGGGACGAGGCUCCUGCAGGACUCAGGGCAGCACCUGGCAGGCGGGGGUCCGGGGCCCCAUCAUCCCAUCCACAGCCAGGACCCUCCCAGGUCACAUGUCACAGGGGUGUGGGUGCAGGCCAGGGAAAGGCACCCACGGGCAGUGUGCGCGAGGCUCUACCAGAACGCGGCCCUGUCUGGCUCUUCUUGCAUUCGCUGUGGCCGUUGUCCGCCCACAUCAGGAUGAGUGGUCAUGGCAGGGACGGCCUGGCCGCAAAGCACAACAGCUCUGGGGCCAGCCCUGCACAGGCGUCUGUGGGUCUCCCGGGGCACCACUAGGGAUAAGCAGGGUCCCGGCUGGCAGCAGGCGGCUGACUCCCACCAAAGACGGACGAAAGGGACCUUGAACAGUAGGGCCAGCGUCCAGGUGAGAGCAGGUGCAGGUGGGGGCCGGGCAGCAUCACAGAGGCACGUGGGAAAGCCCUCACGUGCAGCAGGUUUGCGGCGCCCAGACCACCAAAGCCGAGGUUUCUGUGCCCGCCGUCCGCACCGGGCCCUCAGCAGAGGGGUCUCGGUCUCCUGGGACCCUCCCAAGGCGUCUGCCCCCUGGAGUUGAGAGGCAGUGCGAUGCUCCCCGCUGGGGGGUGGGGUCAUCUCUGGACAAAGUCCCUAGAGUCGGUGCUUCUGCCACUCCUUUCCUGGAGGAAGCCCGCAGGCUUCCUCGGGGAACCCAAAGCCUCUCAGGGGGCGCUGCCCGGGCCCCUGCCAUGUGUCACUGUGACCUUUUAGCUCGGGAGGGUCUGCGGGGCUGAGGGGGAGGGGCCGUCCCUCCCCCUCCCCCGCCGGAAUGUCUGCGCUGCAAACAGGAACUUCGCCUUCUGGGGUCAGCUGACUCCUGGAAACGGCAGCACCGGGCCACGCAGUGUUGGCCGAGGCCAGGAUGUGGGCGCGUCCGGUGUGAGGGGGCGGCUGGGGCGUGGGCAGGAGGCCGCCUCGUGGUCUUGAGACACCGUCCCCUCAACUCCAGUCCUGCCCUUGGGGCGGAGACGUCGCCCCUCCGGCUGCUGGACCUGUUCUGCUGGGAGGGCAGGGCCCCAGGUGACCCCACCCAGGCUGGCUGUCCUGCCUGCUUGGGGCAUCACGUGUAAGACCCCGGACCUCGCGCUGGGGCUGCACUGAGUAGGGCUUUUGAUGAACUGGGCGACCCUGAGCAGUGGAGUCUGGGGGCCCUGCCGGGGGCCCUGCGGUGGUUCCCAGACCUGUCUGUGACGGACGCUGCCCCCCGCCCACCACCAGGAGAGCUCCCGAAAGUUUACGCCCCUCCCUCCAGGAGCACCGUUGCUUCUCUGUAACCAGGAUGAUCGACCCUCAAACGUAGAGGAGGGUCUGGACCGCGGGUCUUUCCGUCUGCUGGCUCUUCGACUUCCGACUUCCUGGGCUCGACCACCGGUUCCUGGCCAUCGAGCACGUGCAAAGCCAGUGUCCAGCGCUUCCUUCCCUGGAGCUCAGGCCGGCAGCCCUGCCCCUAGUCCUGGCGCUCUGGCCGGAUGCUGUCUUUGUCUGGUCUCUUCCCCUCCUCCUUCAGAUGCUCGGCUCUGUCUGCAGGUCCAGGCUUGGCAUCCAGGACACACAGGCCCACGAGGACCGCCUGCAUCCCACAGACAGAGCAUGCACAGCUCCUGCUGUCCACCCAGGGCCUGGCGACCUCCCGGCAUCGGCACACUGAGAUUGCGGCGUUUUAGGCUACCUGUGAAAUACCAUCAGUGCUCCACUUUCAUUGUUAUUUUUAACCAGGAGCUUCAUCUAUGUGAAAUAAAAUUCAUAUUUUAUGGCAAGACUGGAAGAAUGUAAACAUAAGAACUUUACUCUGCCCUUGGACCUCCCCUCUCCCCCAACUGCGCAUCUUGUAUCUGCAUUAGGGGUGACCACAGCUCCCCGUCGGCAGACAUACCUGCUCGUCCGCGAGGAGCGACAUCCUCCCAGCACCGGCAAGACGGCCCCUUAAAGAAAACAUUCCUCUCGAUCUUUUAAGGGGCCACAAUGACGCUCAGCGCUAGACUGUGUAAACUGUCAAUAAUACGUCAUUUAAUGUACAGCCCUCUGUCUCAAAAAACUUCAACAGCUGUGCCUGGGCUUCUAAUGGGCGGAACAGCUUUGGAGCUUCUGAGAGGCUGUUCUUGGAUUCGAAGCCUCAGUUUGGCUCGAAUAAAAUUUUUCAUUUCCCUCUUA